GUUUCCGUAGGUGAACCUGCGGAAGGAUCAUUACAGUACUACCCCGAAGUCCGGCUUCACAGCCGGGAGGGACGUUAAACACCCUGUGAACUUUAGACUGUGCUUCGGUAGCUGACUUGGCGUAUUGGAAGGGAAUAGCUACCCCAACCACUGUCACUCGUCGUUAAGCCUGCCGGUUAACCAAACCAAACCAAACUUUAUGAAUAAAACUUGUCUGAAACCAUAUCAUUUUCGAAUGAAAAAUUAAAACUUUCAACAACGGAUCUCUUGGUUCUCGCAUCGAUGAAGAACGCAGCGAAACGCGAUAGUUAAUGUGAAUUGCAGAAUUCAGUGAAUCAUCGAGUCUUUGAACGCACAUUGCGCCCAUUGGUAUUCCGAUGGGCAUGUCUGUUUGAGCGUCAUUGCAACACUUCGGUUCCGACCGGUCUUGGGCCCUGCCGCACCUCUUAGCUGAGGCGGCUGGCCUUAAAGUUGCACGCUCUGCGGGCUACCAGAACCCGAACGAACAUAGUAAACGCUAACUGUUCAACUAAGGCUCAGGUCAGCUUCGCCUGAACAAUGAACCCCCUUUCUAAGGUUUGACCUCAGAUCAGACAAGGAUACCCGCUGAACUUAA
rnacentral:rRNA from 1 species